rnacentral:lncRNA from 10 species
ACCACUACCAAUGAGCACUCUGAGCACUCAGACCUUGAUGUCUAAUUACCAUCCCCCACUAGAAGGAACCAGGGAUUACUGGGAGAAAACAGCUGAUUUCAGGGCAGGGGCAGAAAAUAUACAGGAUGAAAAAGACUACUAGGGUCAUGUCAAAAGGAAUCAGCCACCUCGAAGCAGCUCCCAAGAACCAAAGAUAGAACAAUUUGAGCAAAAACAAAGACAGUAGCUGUAAUUACUAUUAAUACAGAUGAUAACACACAUGAUAACAUCAGAUAUGUUUCAACCAUGAGUUCAUAAUGUACUCAAAGAAGAAAACAACUCUCACAGGGCAUGUUGGAAAGAUGCCUGUGAACCAUCUCAUUUUGAAAACUGAAAAAUAAAGGGAGGAAAGCCAAGAAUCAAUCCUACUUUUCUUAUACAAACCAAAUCUCAGGGUAACCAAAUAACUGAUGAGAGUGUGUUUCUCUUUAUAAAGUAUGUCAGCUAAUAAACAAAGAAAAAAUCAAUAGCACUAGAAUAUUAAUUGCAAUCCCUACAGAAGUAAUGGAUCUGUGCAAUCUGCGGGGGCUAACAUCAGAAAAGAGAGGCAACCAGAUAUUUUGCUCCUCCUACUGGAAGCAUCUGUCACCACCAAUAAAGUAGUCUUGCCUAAAUAAAUCUAACUUGAAUCUGACUAACUCUCUAGAUUUAUAAGAAAUAGAGAAGACAGAGAUGCACUCAGAAAAACUCAUACUGUGAAAAAUUCUACAAUAUAAAUGACCCUAUAUUUUGUCUUCCAACAAACCUUCAGAUUAUUCCAAUAUAUGCUGAAGUGUGAGACCCACUGCUACAGAUUAAAAAAAGGCUUAAAAUGCAUAUCAAUAAAUCACAGUGCAUAGACCUACUGCAAGUAAACAAAAAAAUAUAAGCCACUCAGAGAAAUGUCAACGAUGGCUGAAUAUUUAAAGAGAUCGCAGCUGAGCCCAUGGGAGAAGAAACAUUUCAAAAGCAACUCUUGACUGUGUCUCAACCUUUGUCCAAACAACAGUACAAGAAUAAACCAUCUUAGAAACCAUCUUGAUGUAGGGCUUGAUCAUUGAACUAGUGACACACUUCUGGCUCCAUCUCAUACCAGGGCAAAUACAAAGAUUUAAAUAAAAUAUGUGUGAGGAAAUCUCACCAGCAGCUUGACAUGUAAUUAGAUAAUGAAACUUUCUUACAGCUUCGCUACCUCUUAAGUUUUAGCUUGAAUGAUCUUCCCCACCCUACCCCAUACCCCAUCCUACCACACCCCACUCAGCUCUGGCCAGUGUUUUCUCUCUUUGAUCACCUGGAGGGCGUCACCCUGUAGUGAAUUCAUCAGAAACAAAAGGCCAUGGAAUCUAUGACAACUCAAGCAUUUUCCUAAACUCUCCACGGCCAGGUAUUGUCCUUACCAAUCUCCCAUGUGGUCAAAACAAAUUUAUAAUGUGGAACAGUCCCAAACAUCACCUCUGUGUUCUCUGACUCAUUUAUUCCAGUGUAUCCAACCCAGACAGGAAGAGAGUCAGCCACCCCCUCCUAGAAGGAAGUGGGCUGUCUCAUGCUCAGGUAGAAGUCAGGCGGGCAGGAAGGAGCAAUCACUUUUAUUUUUUCAGUUAUAUUACCAGGUUAUGUAUUUGAGAUAUGAUUUCUCAAAAGGGAAGUAACUCAGGCAGAAUCCAUG